GUAUCUCCGAGGAGGGGGGUUCGCCGCGCCCUGCUCCGGCCCAAUCGGCCGUGCAGCGGGUCCGCGUCCCCCGACUCGCAAACCCAACACAAACCCUGUGCUCCUUUCACGGCCAGAGGGGGGGGAGCCGUCGGCGAAAGCUGCGUGUGCCCCCCCGAAGCCGCAUUAAACAAACCCCAGUUCAAAAGAAUGUCAAGCGGACUCUGUGCCGUCUACAACUGAAACAACUUUCAACAACGGAUCUCUUGGCUCU
rnacentral:misc_RNA from 1 species